rnacentral:rRNA from 1 species
AUGCACGCUGGCGGCGUGCCUCAUACCUGCAAGUCGAGCGCACGGAUGAGAAGCUUGCUUCUCUGAUGUUAGCGGCGGACGGGUGAGUAACACGUGGAUAACCUACCUAUAAGACUGGGAUAACUUCGGGAAACCGGAGCUAAUACCGGAUAAUAUUUUGAACCGCAUGGUUCAAAAGUGAAAGACGGUCUUGCUGUCACUUAUAGAUGGAUCCGCGCUGCAUUAGCUAGUUGGUAAGGUAACGGCUUACCAAGGCAACGAUGCAUAGCCGACCUGAGAGGGUGAUCGGCCACACUGGAACUGAGACACGGUCCAGACUCCUACGGGAGGCAGCAGUAGGGAAUCUUCCGCAAUGGGCGAAAGCCUGACGGAGCAACGCCGCGUGAGUGAUGAAGGUCUUCGGAUCGUAAAACUCUGUUAUUAGGGAAGAACAUAUGUGUAAGUAACUGUGCACAUCUUGACGGUACCUAAUCAGAAAGCCACGGCUAACUACGCG